CGGUAGUAUAUAAUAGGCGAGCUGAUGUUCAGGAGAAGAAGAAGAAGCGCCUACAGCAGCAGUUACUGGUUAGCUCGGUCACUGCCGCCUCUGCUACACGCGCUGAUACCAGCUCAACAUGGCUGCUACAAAUGGCCACUUCAAGUCACCACCACCACCUCAGAACCGGAAAUGUGUGUUUAAGAAAGGUCUUGCAAAGGAAGUGACUCCUACAGUGACAUGAAUUAAGGUGUGUAUC